rnacentral:lncRNA from 12 species
CAAAGUAUUUGGAAACUCUGUUAAAAACAGCUCUCGAUACCAAGUUCCUCAUUCUAGUAAGAAAUGGAUAGUCAAAAAAAAAAAAAAAGAAAGAAAGAAAAAGAAAGAAAGAAAGAAAAGAAAGAAAGAAAGAAAGAAAGAAAGAAAGAAAGAAAGAAAGAAAGAAAGAAAGAAAAAAGAAAUGGAUAAUCAAAAAACUUUGGAUGCUCUGAAAAUGGAGGAAAUAGUUCGAUAUUCAAUGCUGCAAAUUGUACUUAUUUCGAUGGAUUUAGGACGUAGCUGGUUGAAUAAAAGGUCUAUGACAGCGCUUCUCAAACCAUCUGUGGUGAAGAACGUGUGUGUGUGAUUUCUUGUCCAUCGUAGACUGAUAUGUGGCCCUACCAUGUAUGACUAUUACAGAGCUCGUGCCACAUGCCACUCACCACGGAAGUUUGAAUGCAUCUACUUCCUGUUCAGUAAGAGUCCACUGAUCACCGGCCUGGAUGUUAACAAGGUCAAGCUGCUAUCAAGGUUUCAGGAUGGUUACUCUUAGGCUUAUCUUAUUGUGGAUUAGCAUGGUCCUCAGACCACACUCUGAGUAACGCUAGUCCGAAAGACAGUGAGUCCCAUAUAGGGAGAAACCACGUCCUUUUAUUUUAUCCACCUUUGUGUGUGCCUGCAGAUUUUCACCAGGACCACCCAAAAGAAGCCCUCUCCUCGCCCAGAAACGGAUGCCCACUUGUUAAUUAGCUAGUGUUUUGAAUAUGGAAAGCUCUACCAGCAUUAAAUAUUAUUAUUAUUAUUAGCCUCGUGUCCACUAUAGUAGAUGUCAUUUAAUUAGAACUGCAUAAUAGGCAAAUCUGCCUUAAUUGGCUGGGAUGUGGCUAGGAAACCAUUUCACGUCUAUGUCUGCAUUCUCUGUUCUGUGGUCAUCACAUCACAUUCUCUGGCAAUGGGUCAUUCUGGAGACCUUGGGUAGGGUUCAGGGAAGGUUAUCUGGCUACUGAUUAACACUUAAUUAGCACCUUUUUCAUGUAGCACAGCAGUGACUUUGUAAAUUUAAAAAUUUCAGGGGACCACUUAAUGUGGAAUUAAAGUACAAGUGCAAUAUUUAAGAUGCAUGAAAUUGUUUUACGCAUUACAGCAUUAACUAGCUCUUAAUUUAUGUGGUGCAUGCCAGAGAAGGGCAAUUAAAGUGUAGCAGGAAAAAAAAUUAUAGAUCUCUAUGUUGUCCUGUCUUUUCCUCUAACGGUACUUUUGAAGGCUUUUACUGCAUUUGUAUCUCAACUCCUAUCCUAGAUUUAGGAGUAAAUGGUUAAGUUCUGAAGCCUGUUUGCCACCACAGGAAUUGACAUCAUCUUUAGCCU